UACGUAGGGGGCAAGCGUUGUCCGGAUUUAUUGGGCGUAAAGAGCGUGUAGGCGGCCAUGUAGGUCCGUUGUGAAAACUCGAGGCUCAACCUCGAGACGCCGAUGGAAACCAUGUGGCUAGAGUCCGGAAGAGGAGAGUGGAAUUCCUGGUGUAGCGGUGAAAUGCGCAGAUAUCAGGAGGAACACCGAUGGCGAAGGUAGGUCUCUGGGCCACUACUGACGCUGAGAAGCGAAAGCAUGGGGAGCGAACAGG
rnacentral:rRNA from 1 species